rnacentral:rRNA from 1 species
GACGAACGCUGGCGGCGUGCUUAACACAUGCAAGUCGAACGGAAAGGCCCUGCUUUUGUGGGGUGCUCGAGUGGCGAACGGGUGAGUAACACGUGAGUAACCUGCCCUUGACUUUGGGAUAACUUCAGGAAACUGGGGCUAAUACCGGAUAGGAGCUCCUGCUGCAUGGUGGGGGUUGGAAAGUUUCGGCGGUUGGGGAUGGACUCGCGGCUUAUCAGCUUGUUGGUGGGGUAGUGGCUUACCAAGGCUUUGACGGGUAGCCGGCCUGAGAGGGUGACCGGCCACAUUGGGACUGAGAUACGGCCCAGACUCCUACGGGAGGCAGCAGUGGGGAAUAUUGCACAAUGGGCGGAAGCCUGAUGCAGCAACGCCGCGUGCGGGAUGACAGCCUUCGGGUUGUAAACCGCUUUCGCCUGUGACGAAGCGUGAGUGACAGUAAUGGGUAAAGAAGCACCGGCUAACUACGUG